CAGCAGCCGCGGUAAUACGUAGGUGGCAAGCGUUGUCCGGAAUUAUUGGGCGUAAAGGGCUCGCAGGCGGUUUCUUAAGUCUGAUGUGAAAGCCCCCGGCUCAACCGGGGAGGGUCAUUGGAAACUGGGAAACUUGAGUGCAGAAGAGGAGAGUGGAAUUCCACGCGUAGCGGUGAAAUGCGUAGAGAUGUGGAGGAACACCAGUGGCGAAGGCGACUCUCUGGUCUGUAACUGACGCUGAGGAGCGAAAGCGUGGGGAGCGAACAGGAUUAGAUACCCCGGUAGUCCCUGUCUCUUAUAC
rnacentral:rRNA from 1 species